GACGGAGGAUGCAAGCGUUAUCCGGAAUUAUUGGGCGUAAAGCGUCCGCAGGUGGCUGUUCAAGUCUGCUGUCAAAGCGCAGAGCUUAACUCUGUACAGGCGGUGGAAACUGAAGAGCUAGAGUGCGGUAGGGGUAGAGGGAAUUCCCGGUGUAGCGGUGAAAUGCGUAGAGAUCGGGAAGAACAUCGGUGGCGAAAGCGCUCUACUGGACCGCAACUGACACUCAGGGACGAAAGCUAGGGGAGCGAAUGGG
rnacentral:rRNA from 1 species